CCCCUCCGCCGCCGCUCCCACCAUCCUCCCCAUCCGUCGCUGCUGCCCCCAUCCCCCCCGUCCGCCGCCGCCGCUCCCAUCCUCCCCGUCCGCCGUCGCGCCGUCGCGGGUCUCCUCGCGCAAGCGCACGACCUCCACCAAGGCCGUGCCCGCGGCCGACCGCGGGGCUCCUCGGCCAAGCGCGUGUCUUCCGCCAAGGCCGCGCCCGAUGCUGACCAGAAGGCCACGGUCGCCAAGCGCCCGCACAAGGGAACCACGUCGGGGAGGAAGAAGUCGGCGCCCAAGUCCGUUGCUGCGGCACACCCUCUCUAGCCGCCUCUCAUCGUCCUCGCGCUCGGCAGAAGGAGGACGAGGACGUUGAGCGGACAUGGGCUAUCACUCUCUCCGCGGGCAAGCUCGAGCGCUACGGCAUUAGCGAGGACCUCCGCGAGUUCGUCAAUGGCAUGACCAUGAGUUGGAGCUGUCGGAUGUGUCCACGUUGUUGAAUAUGCCUCAGCAUCUGAACGAAUAGCAGGCUAGGCAUACCACUCACGUCCUCUCAGCCGUCAGGAUUUUGUUUCCAUUAACCAUUUCAGUCAUGGGAGAUUUGGUUUAUGUGGCUCUCCAUCGAUGGAAUGCCAAUGAAUGCACAUAUGAACAUACAUACAUAGUUCUAUUUUGCUUUAGAAUUCAGUGUCAGGUACCAUCCCUCCAUGAGGUUUUAUCCAGUGUCUUUCUCUUUCCUUAAUAAUUGUUGCACUUUUGAUUGAAGAAAACUUCAUGGAGGUUGCUGAUUUGGAGCUCAGCUAGGGAUGCUCUGAAUUUCAUGGUUGUUGCUUGAUGUGGAAUGUAUAGUCUUCACUGCACAUCAUGUGGUUGAUGCUUAGUUCUUGUUUUUUUUCAAAUGCAACUGGAACCGGCGACCAGCCCUUCCUCGCCCUUAGCCUCGACACCACCACUGACGCCUCCAGGAGCAGUGGGGCAUCGCCGGUGGUGCCGGCAAGGCAAUGGUUGUGGUUAGGCUUUAGUGCUAGGUUCCUCACAGUUGUAGCUGUUGGGGAACACUGCUAUGCUCGAUGUCCGGUGGUGGGGUUUGGGCACGCCACUGGUGCUCCUUCAGAUUGGCAUGGAUGCCUCCGCGCUCGGAGUCUGCUGUAUCUACGGGUUCCUAGGUGCUGUCAUAUGCUCCAGAUUUUAUAUGGCCCAUUGUAUAGGAUGCAGUUUGGAUUAUUAAUCUGGAACAGCUAUACCAUGGAGGUGUUGUUUAAGGUCCCUUGCUAAUUUUAUCUUAAGCUGCAGUACUGCAUCUUUGGUUCAGUGCUGCGUUGCUCGGUUCGUUUGCUUGGUUCCUUUGCUCGGCUCAGGAGGUUAGGAGACCAUCAACCAUAAGGAGGAGGAAUAACAAAGAAGUUCAGAAGCCAAGGACCAUCUUCAACCUGAUUUUAGGCAUCCUCAAGUAAAGGUUGAUUCAAUAAUUGAAUGCAUAGGCUUAAACCAGAGGAUAUAGCAGUGGAAGAACAAGUUUUAUGUCUGUCGAGGUGCUUUCUUAUUUAUUUGACAUGAUAAAGCAUGGACCUUCUUGCUCGUUCGUCGCUACGCAUCUCAGCUCCAGUAACCAGGUUGCGAUGGCUGACGAUGAGCUCCAGGUUCAUGGCUCGCCAGGCUCCUCUUCGGUCGUCGCUACGCAUCUCAGCUCCAGUAAACAGGUCGCGAUGGCUGACGAUGAGCUCCAGGUUCAUGGCUCACCAGGCUCCGCUGGCUCCACCAACAGUUGUCUACGAACACUUGCACAGAUUAUACUAUCGUAUCAGUCUUCACUUCUGAGCUACUCUUGCUAUGAUUCACGCAUACUUGAUGGAAACCCAGUGAGUGUUCAGGAUCCCACACAGAACAGUUCUUGACAGCCUCCUAGCGCAUCUUGAGUUAUCUCCAGAUGAGUACGAGCGUGUUGUUCAUGAGGAUGGCAAGAUCCAUGUAACCGUCUCUUUCAACACCUCCACAAUUAACCUUGGGGGACCAAUCAGCGACAUUUCUGUGCCAGGGCUUUAUUGCACCGACGAUGAGGCUGCCGAGGAUACCGCUAUGAUAAAGCCUAUCAUAUACAUAGAGGACAUGACAAACACGGUUGUUAGAGACUUGAACCUUGCUUCGUCCAAACGACAUCAGCGCCAUGCCGAGCACUUCCUGCAGCAGUUAGAGGAGUCAAGGACCAAUAAAAGGAUGCUUGCUAGAGGUUGGCUUCUUGCCGUCAGAUACAUGCAUUACUUUUCUGUGCACAUUAGAAAUGUGGUUGCCAUGGACUACUCUGUUGGAGAUCUUCCUGACACAAUGGAAGACACAAGCAACCGCUUGGAAGGACAUUUGGAAAAAAGGUCGCUCUAUUAGAUGGCGCCUCUCCUAAUUCACAGCUGCUCCAAUGCGUAUCAAGGUUCCAUGUGAGGCGGUCUUUGUGAAGUACAUCGACAAGGCAGAUGAAUUACGCCACUUGUUAGUAUGCUUAGUGAUUAUGGCUUCGUAGUUGGCUCUCCUUAUGUAUUCUCGCUUUUGGUAUCGAACUUCGUGUUGAAUGGCCGUCUUUUGUGGUCGGAUGAACGCACCUGAUGUUGAUCUUGAGAUCCAUUGUGUUUUAUUUCUAUCGCAAUUCAAUGUUUCUUACCUCAUUAUCAUCCUGUAUAAGUACAAAUGCUUUACUUGGGUUCCUACUGGCAUGUUGUUACAUGCUUUGGCAAAAUAUUGAGACCGGCACCCUUGCGCCAAGGCAUGAUUCUGACCUAGUUAUAUGCAGGCCCACUAGCAGCAACAUCUCGAGAUGCGUGUGCGAUCUCCUCAUCUGUGGCUGCACCAACACAUACAACUACCAUCUUCGACAUGCCCAAUAAUCAACAAAUUUCAACAAAAUGUUUCAUCGCGUUCCUCUCUGCGUCCUCACGACACUUCCUCGCAACCUCGAAAUGCUUC
rnacentral:rRNA from 1 species